CCUACGGGAGGCAGCAGUAAGGAAUAUUGGACAAUGGACGCAAGUCUGAUCCAGCCAUGCCGCGUGAAGGAUUAAGGCCCUCUGGGUUGUAAACUUCUUUUAUAGGGGACGAAAAAAGGGCUUUCUAGCUCGACUGACGGUACCCUAUGAAUAAGCACCGGCUAACUCCGUGCCAGCAGCCGCGGUAAUACGGAGGGUGCAAGCGUUAUCCGGAUUCACUGGGUUUAAAGGGUGCGUAGGCGGGCAUUUAAGUCAGUGGUGAAGUCUUCGAGCUCAACUCGGAAACUGCCAUUGAUACUAUUUGUCUUGAAUAUUGUGGAGGUGAGCGGAAUAUGUCAUGUAGCGGUGAAAUGCUUAGAUAUGACAUAGAACACCGAUUGCGAAGGCAGCUCGCUACACAAAUAUUGACGCUGAGGCACGAAAGCGUGGGGAUCAAACAGGAUUAGAUACCCUGGUAGUCCACGCCCUAAACUAUGGAUACUCGACAUUUGCGAUACACAGUAAGUGUCUGAGCGAAAGCAUUAAGUAUCCCACCUGGAAGUACGACCGCAAGGUUGAAACUCAAAUGAAUUGACGGCUGAGACGAGCGACGGACGACGACGAGGGGAGGUAGG
rnacentral:rRNA from 1 species